rnacentral:rRNA from 1 species
UGGGGAAUAUUGCACAAUGGGCGCAAGCCUGAUGCAGCCAUGCCGCGUGUAUGAAGAAGGCCUUCGGGUUGUAAAGUACUUUCAGUCGGGAGGAAGGUGGUAAGGUUAAUAACCUUGGCAAUUGACGUUACCGACAGAAGAAGCACCGGCUAACUCCGUGCCAGCAGCCGCGGUAAUACGGAGGGUGCAAGCGUUAAUCGGAAUGACUGGGCGUAAAGCGCACGCAGGCGGUCUGUUAAGUCGGAUGUGAAAUCCCCGGGCUCAACCUGGGAACUGCAUUCGAAACUGGCAGGCUAGAGUCUUGUAGAGGGGGGUAGAAUUCCAGGUGUAGCGGUGAAAUGCGUAGCGAUCUGGAGGAAUACCGGUGGCGAAGGCGGCCCCCUGGACAAAGACUGACGCUCAGGUGCGAAAGCGUGGGGAGCAAACAGG